GAAGAACCGUGAUCCUCUUCUCUCAUUCUGAAUAAACAGGACUUCCUCUUGGAAAUCAGUAAGCUGCCAUUUUACGUAAGAUCGUAGGCAAACUGCAUGACGCCUUCGUGACCACGUGUGACAUCAUCAAGAACACGCUCAAUGAUGCGUACAGAACCGUGGCCUUGGCUUUGUUUCUACCCCCUUUGAUCGUUUAUAUUAGUUUUGUGAGUCUGUAGAGACUGGAUUUCCCUUCUGUGUU